CAUAAACCGAGCAGGCCAAGGGCGCCUUCCUUCUCCUCCAUCUGUUUUCAGGGGGUUGGGGCAGUGGAGCUGCUCAGGACUAUGCUACGAUUCAGAGGCGCCCCAGAAAUUUAACACUAUAUCUACUACAGAGCUUUGAGAAUUCCGUGCCGGUCUUAUCAAGAGGCCUAUGACGUGGAGAAAACUGCGACCGCACAGGACUGGCUGCAGAGCGCUGGGUAAGGGAUGGCGUUUCCCAGCUGCUUCAGCCAGGCAGCCGUUCAGCGUUGAUGCAACCCGAGUGCCGGCACUGGGCCUCCACGAUCUCCGAGGGGAAGCGGUUGGGGUCCCGGGUGAUGCUGCAGGAGGGGCGGACAAAAGCAGUUGGUGAGACAAGGGAGACGGAGAUGGACAGAUGUGAGAACCCCGCGGCGCCGGGUGCUCACCUGCAGGGAGGCAUUUCCCAGCAACCCAGGGCUGUAACCAGAUGGCCUGGAUUCAUACAUUGCCCUCCGGCAGGUGUUUAACUACUAAAGGCUGUUUCUUCCACUCUAAAAUGGAGAUUCUCAUGGGUCCCUUUCAUGGAAUGGUUGAGAACAUUCAGUGAUACAAAUGCACACAAAACGCUACACUGUGAAAUACUGCCAUUCAAUAAAUGCUAGAUCUUUA